rnacentral:rRNA from 1 species
UGGGGAAUAUUGCACAAUGGGGGAAACCCUGAUGCAGCGACGCCGUGUGAGCGAAGAAGGUUUUCGAAUCGUAAAGCUCUGUCCUAUGAGAAGAUAAUGACGGUAUCAUAGGAGGAAGCCCCGGCUAAAUACGUGCCAGCAGCCGCGGUAAUACGUAUGGGGCGAGCGUUGUCCGGAAUUAUUGGGCGUAAAGGGUACGUAGGCGGUCUAUUAAGUCAGGUGUGAAAGCGUGAGGCUUAACCUCAUUAAGCACUUGAAACUGAUAGACUUGAGUGAAGGAGAGGAAAGUGGAAUUCCUAGUGUAGCGGUGAAAUGCGUAGAUAUUAGGAGGAAUACCGGUGGCGAAGGCGACUUUCUGGACUUUUACUGACGCUCAGGUACGAAAGCGUGGGGAGCAAACAGG